AUGUAACCUAUGUGCUAUACAAAAUAAUAAUAAUGAGAAUAGCAUCCCGGGUUGUCUGGUGAAUUACAUAAAAACUACUAUAGUUCGUGAGGAAAAUAUAUAAAAUUGUGAAUAAAAAAUAAUAAUUUUGUUGAACCUUGACUUCUCUCGUCUCUCAACCACAGAAUCAUAAUGGUGGCUCACACUGUACUCCUGGACUUCACAGUACCGUCUAACACGGUAGGCGAUAUCGACAAGCGUUCAAACUUGAAAUCAACAAUUGCAAGUGUUCUGAAGGAUCAUUUCGACGGUCUCAAGCCCCUGACAGAGUCAACCAUCGACGACAGUUUCUUUGUUCUCUACACAGGACCAAGAGGCAGUCUCAUUACUGUCCGAGGAUAUGCAGAGGGCCUUGUGACAGUUAACAUUGAAUACUACAAGCAAGACGACGAACAGGCACUCAUGAGCCUCGAGUCGGCCAGAGACUUGGAGACAGCAAUGCAGGCAGCGGCUACAGCCACUCGAUCACACGCGCUUGUUCCACUCAAACGCGGUGGCCCAUUUGAGAGAUACUUUCCCACCGCCGAUGAGAGACUACUGGAGUACGAUAUCGAUAAAUUAGUAUUUGAGGCUCGAUCACCAUACCAGAAAGUGCAAAUUGUUCACUCAAAAUCACUGGGGAAUUUACUAGUCCUCGAUGAACUGCAAAAUAUGUCGGAGGCUGAUCUUAUCUAUACUGAAACUCUCAUGCAACGAGGAAAGGAGAAUUACACAGGGAAGGAAAUUGUGAUCUUGGGAGGUGGUGAUGGUGGACUUCUCUGGGAACUGCUCAAAGAAAAACCUAAAUACGUUACGAUGCUUGAGAUUGAUGACAUUGUUAUGAAGGCCUGCAGUGAGCAUAUGAGAAGCAUUUGCGGAGAUUGUUUGGAUAAGAGAAAAGGCGAUAAUUACGAGAUAAUUGUCGGAGACUGCGUGAAAGCUCUUGCUCACAUGAUUGAAGAGGGUCGCCAAUUUGAUUACGUCUUCGGGGAUUUGACUGACAUCCCUAUCAGCACAACGCCCCACGGUGACGCAUGGGAUUUCAUCAGAUUAAUAUUGAAUUCAUCAAUGAAAGUGCUGAAGCCAUCAGGGAAAUACAUGACUCACGCUUUGAGGUGAUGAAAUCAUCGACGAAAUUUCGUACAUCUGGACAUGCGAUUUUACCGGCCGAAUGACCUUCUAAAUAUUCACCUCCGCGAGCCGAAAAUGGUGCCUCAAAGCCGAAUUUGCAGUCAGGUGGCACGAAAACUUGAAAUUUUAACAGGCGCGGUGGAAAUAAAUGGAUCCGGAAAAAUUCCGACGAAAAAUAGUUAUCGGAGAAAAUUCACCUCAGAGAAACAAAAAUUGAGGCCACAACCCAGAAAACAAUUUUUGCCAGUACCUUCUAAAACUUAACAGGACAUGGGCAAUUUGUCGACAAAUUGUCGACAUACUGUUUGCUGAGAAGUGGAGGGGAAUGGUGCAUCCUGUCCGGAAUCGUUGUCGAUGUUUGAGGAUGUGCUCGCUCAACUAUCAGUACCCGUCGCAUUCACCAAAG